rnacentral:rRNA from 1 species
ACAUGCAAGUCGAGCGGCAGCGGGAAGAUAGCUUGCUAUCUUUGCCGGCGAGCGGCGGACGGGUGAGUAAUGCCUAGGGAUCUGCCCAGUCGAGGGGGAUAACAGUUGGAAACGACUGCUAAUACCGCAUACGCCCUACGGGGGAAAGGAGGGGACCUUCGGGCCUUCCGCGAUUGGAUGAACCUAGGUGGGAUUAGCUAGUUGGUGAGGUAAUGGCUCACCAAGGCGACGAUCCCUAGCUGUUCUGAGAGGAUGAUCAGCCACACUGGGACUGAGACACGGCCCAGACUCCUACGGGAGGCAGCAGUGGGGAAUAUUGCACAAUGGGGGAAACCCUGAUGCAGCCAUGCCGCGUGUGUGAAGAAGGCCUUCGGGUUGUAAAGCACUUUCAGUAGGGAGGAAAGGUAGCAGCUUAAUACGCUGUUGCUGUGACGUUACCUACAGAAGAAGGACCGGCUAACUCCGUGCCAGCAGCCGCGGUAAUACGGAGGGUCCGAGCGUUAAUCGGAAUUACUGGGCGUAAAGCGUGCGCAGGCGGUUUGUUAAGCGAGAUGUGAAAGCCCCGGGCUCAACCUGGGAAUUGCAUUUCGAACUGGCGAACUAGAGUCUUGUAGAGGGGGGUAGAAUUCCAGGUGUAGCGGUGAAAUGCGUAGAGAUCUGGAGGAAUACCGGUGGCGAAGGCGGCCCCCUGGACAAAGACUGACGCUCAGGCACG